GGAUGAACGCUGGCGGCGUGCUUAACACAUGCAAGUCGAACGGACUCAUAUUGAAACCUAGUGAUUUAUGAGUUAGUGGCGGACGGGUGAGUAACGCGUGGAAAACCUGCCGUAUACUGGGGAUAACACUUAGAAAUAGGUGCUAAUACCGCAUAAGCGCACAGCUUCGCAUGAAGUGGUGUGAAAAACUCUGGUGGUAUACGAUGGUUCCGCGUCUGAUUAGCUUGUUGGUGGGGUAAUGGCUCACCAAGGCGACGAUCAGUAGCCGGCCUGAGAGGGUGAACGGCCACAUUGGGACUGAGACACGGCCCAAACUCCUACGGGAGGCAGCAGUGGGGAAUAUUGCACAAUGGGGGAAACCCUGAUGCAGCGACGCCGCGUGAACGAAGAAGGUAUUCGUAUCGUAAAGUUCUGUCCUAUGGGAAGAUAAUGACAGUACCAUAGAAGAAAGCUCCGGCUAAAUACGUGCCAGCAGCCGCGGUAAUACGUAUGGAGCGAGCGUUGUCCGGAAUUAUUGGGCGUAAAGGGUACGCAGGCGGUUUAAUAAGUCGAAUGUUAAAGAUCGGGGCUCAACCCCCGUAAAGCAUUGGAAACUGAUAAACUUGAGUAGUGGAGAGGAAAGUGGAAUUCCUAGUGUAGUGGUGAAAUACGUAGAUAUUAGGAGGAAUACCAGUAGCGAAGGCGACUUUCUGGACACAAACUGACGCUGAGGUACGAAAGCGUGGGGAG
rnacentral:rRNA from 1 species